rnacentral:rRNA from 1 species
UACGUAGGGGGUAAGCGUUGUCCGGAAUCAUUGGGCGUAAAGAGCGUGUAGGCGGCCCGAUAAGUCCGCUGUGAAAGUCCAGGGCUCAACCCUGGGAUGCCGGUGGAUACUGUCGGGCUCGAGUCCGGAAGAGGCGAGUGGAAUUCCUGGUGUAGCGGUGAAAUGCGCAGAUAUCAGGAGGAACACCAAUGGCGAAGGCAGCUCGCUGGGACGUGACUGACGCUGAGACGCGAAAGCGUGGGGAGCGAACAGG